UACGUAGGGGGCAAGCGUUGUCCGGAAUCAUUGGGCGUAAAGAGCGUGUAGGCGGCCCGGUAAGUCCGCCGUGAAAGUCCAGGGCUCAACCCUGGAAUGCCGGUGGAUACUGUCGGGCUCGAAUCCGGAAGAGGUGAGUGGAAUUCCUGGUGUAGCGGUGAAAUGCGCAGAUAUCAGGAGGAACACCAAUGGCGAAGGCAGCUCACUGGGACGGUAUUGACGCUGAGACGCGAAAGCGUGGGGAGCAAACAGG
rnacentral:rRNA from 1 species